UGAGCAAUCUGCCCUUCACAUCGGAAUAACCAUUGGAAACGAUGGCUAAUACCGGAUAUGACUCCUCAUCGCAUGGUGGGGGGUGGAAAGCUUUAUUGUGGUUUUGGAUGGACUCGCGGCCUAUCAGCUUGUUGGUGAGGUAAUGGCUCACCAAGGCGACGACGGGUAGCCGACCUGAGAGGGUGACCGGCCACACUGGGACUGAGACACGGCCCAGACUCCUAGGGAGG
rnacentral:rRNA from 1 species